UUUGUUCCUUUAGAUCACGUAUGUCAUUUUCCUUUGCAAUGAAAGUGAUGACAUCCGCACGCAGAACAGAUUUACGUGGCAUGGUACUAGACAUAACUACGUCCUGGUCACUACCCACGCUUUAUACAAUUUGUGGUGGCUGCCCCAAAAGUACCGCUGAGGACCUCGGGUUUGGGAGCCGUCACAAAAAGGACAUUGAGCAAACCACAGAGUUCACAGAGGCCAGUAUCGUCGAACAAUACGAUAACCAAGAAGAGAAAGACUGAUGUGAAAAGUGUAGUGUUGGCAGAAGAGCCAACACUGUUUUUCUAGAGGAGGCCGAAAUGCACGCGUUUAAUUACGCGCUGACUGGCGUGAGGUCUGGAACAGGACAAUAUCUUGAGAA